rnacentral:rRNA from 1 species
ACGGAGGGUGCAAGCGUUAAUCGGAUUUACUGGGCGUAAAGCGUGCGUAGGUGGUUUGUUAAGUCAGUUGUGAAUCCAAGGCCUCAACCUUGGAAUUGCAUCUGAUACUGGCAGACUAGAGAUCGGUAGAGGGUUAGUGGAAGUUCCAGGUGUAGCGGUAGAAAUGCGUAGAUAUCUGGAGGAACAUCGAUGGCGAAGGCGCAACUGACUGGCCUGAUCUGACACUGAGGUACGAAAGCGUGGGGAGCAAACAGGAUUAGAUACCCCCGUAGUCC